GGUCCUGUGGCCCAAUGGCAAGGCGCUUGACUACGAAUCAAGAGAUUGUCGGUUCGAUCCCGACCAGGAUCA
rfam:Cladophialophora psammophila CBS 110553 aczJe-supercont1.5, whole genome shotgun sequence.